CAUAUUGGCCAUCUGAAAUGUAUAAUGGUAAACUGGUCAUCAUUCAUGUACACUAAAACUUCAUUCACAUGUAUCUAUAUCUAUUUUACUCUUUAUUAUGUUUCAACUGUAUGUAUUGUCCCCUUAAGAGAUUCAUAAAACGAGAGGUGAUGUCGGGGAUGGUCCUAUCUUUACGGGAGGCGUGUGCAGAGGCCCGUGAUCGAUCACCUGUUCCGUUUCGAAAUACGGCGGCAAGCCGGAUAUGAAAGAGUACUCUGUGCUGUUGUUAAAAUAAAUAGAAAUAAUAGCUGGAGCAUCGCGUUUAUACAAUUGCUUUAAAGAAACCAUUACAAUCUUCGUUUGGAAUUGGACACUGGAAUCACUUGUUCGGGUGAUUAACGGAUUCCCACGGAAUGCAUGGAUUGAAAAAGACGUAGCCUACAUAUCUCCAAAGCGGUAACUUUCUUCAUCUACUGCCGUAAGGUGUUCAAGUUUCAUAAAGCUUAGAGUGGUGAUGGUAGCUGGACAGAAGUAAAGGAGGGAUCUGUUUCCCCCGAUACCGGAACCCAGGCCCGUUAAUCACUCCCAGAUAAGCCGCAGCAUGUUCUCCGCCGACCCUCUUGUUCUUUUUCGACAAGCAUUUUUCUUCAUUCUUGCUGAUCUGUCGUCUUGGACAUUUGACUUUGAGGUGGGGAUUUUAUUCCAGUAUUUUCUGGAAUAUUAUUCUGCAACUGAGAAUUUUAUUUAUUUAUUUUGUACAGGCCUGGUAUUGGUUCUGGAGAAGCAGCUUGUCAGUAACAUUUUGUUCCCACAGAAGAAGGGCUACACCAGUCUAGAGGAAUCAUUCCAGAACUGGGAGGCCCUCUCAGAGAAACAUCUAUCACUUCAUUUUUGGCUUGGAGCUCGGGAUGGCAAAAUCUCUCUGUGAGGACCUGAGUUCUGUCCCCGUGCUGAAAGCCCUAAAAGUUCAGAGUUACAGGCCAGAGAAUGGCCAUGCAGACUUUUAAAAGUGAUUCAUAAAAUUUUUAAUUCACAUUCUAAAAGCAACAUGAAGCCUACGCAAUAAAGCCAGGAUUUGGAUAAUGGGUGUCCUUGAAUGUGUGUAUUAUGUUGUCUUGCUGCUGAAUUCUGAACUAGCAGGAGUUGACACACUGCAUGUCUGCUUAAACUAGAUUACAGAGCGCUGCAAUAGUCUAAUCGAGAGGAAGUAUAAGCAUGAAUGUGAACCAUUAGUAGCAGUGUAGCACAUUAUCACCUCCUAGUGGAUGAAAUAAGUUGAGGGUAGUCAGACAAUACCGUAGCAAGACGUAGGCUGGUUAACAAACUCCUAACUAUAGAUGUAUCAAAAAUUAUUCUGUUUUGUGUGUCAAAAAGUGCUUUUGCAUCAAGUGCUUGUCUGGCUACCGUUAGACUACUAAGGAAUUCUCCCUAAAAAAUGUCAGACCGCUGUAUAUUAAUUGUACCAUCUGUUGUUACAAGCAAGUCUGUGUUCUGUUAAUACAGUCAAUACAUCAGAAAAAUUGGCUAGAUGUGAUCUUGCCCUGUUGUAUUAAUAUUAAUGCCACAUGCUGUAAUACAUAUAAAACCUCUCCUAGAAUGAGAACAGUAUAACAACAUGUAGUCAGUCUAGCUAUGAAGUCAUCAACCUGCCUUGUAACACCUGUAUUUGAAGUCUGUAUGUUCUUGGAUUUUUUAUGAUAAAGCAAUAUUUUAUAUUGGUUUAUGAAACACCACAGUCCUACAUGUUUGCCAGACCUGGGCCAAUUACAAUGAGUAUUUAAAUAUUUUUAUUUGGAAAUGCUAAUCUGUGUUUUUUAAAUAUUUUCAUCUAAAAUAAAAUAAAAUGCUUGUAUUUGAAAAAUUCCAAAUGCUAUUUGGAAAAGAUCAAAUACAUUGCAUUUGAUUAUUUAGAAUACAUUCCAAUACUCUUUGAAAUAAUAAAUCAAUUUAAAACUUCAAAUACUAUUUUCAAAGUGCAAUGUAAUAGGGUUACUUAAGGAAAAAAAAAAGAAACUUGUAAACCUGAAACCUCUGGUAUUUGAAAUUAAACUGUACUCAUAGAAUAA